GACCUGAGCAGAGGGCAGAUGCUCAACCAACUGAGCCACCCAGGUGCCCCAAGUUACCUUUAUUUCUAAUUCAUUUUGUUUCCCACAACAGACACAGUAGAAAUCUUUGGCAAUGGCUGCAGUUGAUGUUUGUCAGCUACCUACCCAAACACACACUCACAGAUAGUGUGUGUAGGAUGCCUAGCAAAGACAAGAAGAGCUAGAGCAAAAAUAAUGAAAAUAGCUUACUGAAGCAUGUAGUACUCAAGUCUGGUAUUUCAUUUUACCCUCCUGACUGGCUAGUGAGUUAGUUAGUCUGUUACUGUUUUGUGGAUGCUAACAAAAGACAGAAUUCCUGGAUGAGAGACAAAGGACUAUUAUGACACAGGAAGCGACAUGAGCUUCAGCAGCAGACUAGGAUGAAAGAGUCUCCUGUUGGCUCUGAAGAAGAAAGCUGCCUAUGGAGAAGGCCCACAGCAGGGAGCUGCAGGAGCCUCUAGAAGCUGAGAUUUGCCCCCAGCUGACAACAAGAAAAUAGGACCCUCAGUCCAGUGCCUGCAAGAAAUUCUGCCAAUGACCACAUAAGCUUGGAAGGGGAUCCUGGGCUCCUUUAAGAACACAGCCCAGCCAAUACCUUGGUUGUAGGCUUGUGAGACUACAGAGGACCCAGCUAAGCUGGGUCCAGACUCCUGGCCCACAAAAACUAUGAAGUAAUAAAUGUGUGGUGUGUUGUUUUAA